rnacentral:rRNA from 1 species
GACGAACGCUGGCGGCGUGCUUAACACAUGCAAGUCGAGCGGUAAGGCCCUUUCGGGGGUACACGAGCGGCGAACGGGUGAGUAACACGUGGGUGACCUGCCCUCAGCUCUGGGAUAAGCCUGGGAAACCGGGUCUAAUACUGGAUAUGACUCCAUGACGCAUGUUGUGGGGUGGAAAGCCUUGUGCGGCUGAGGAUGGGCCCGCGGCCUAUCAGCUUGUUGGUGGGGUGANGGCCUACCAAGGCGACGACGGGUAGCCGGCCUGAGAGGGCGACCGGCCACACUGGGACUGAGACACGGCCCAGGCUCCUACGGGAGGCAGCAGUGGGGAAUCUUGCGCAAGUGGGCGAAAGCCUGACGCAGCGACGCCGCGUGAGGGAUGACGGCC